AGAGUUUGAUCAUGGCUCAGGAUGAACGCUGGCGGCGUGCUUAACACAUGCAAGUCGAGCGAAGUACUCUGCUUUGAUUCUUUCGGGAUGAAGAGUAUUGUGACUGAGCGGCGGACGGGUGAGUAACGCGUGGGUAACCUGCCUCAUACAGGGGGGUAACAGUUAGAAAUGGCUGCUAAUACCGCAUAAGACCACAGCACCGCAUGGUGCAGGGGUAAAAACUCCGGUGGUAUGAGAUGGAUCCGCGUCUGAUUAGCUAGUUGGUGGGGUAACGGCCUACCAAGGCGACGAUCAGUAGCCGACCUGAGAGGGUGACCGGCCACAUUGGGACUGAGACACGGCCCAAACUCCUACGGGAGGCAGCAGUGGGGAAUAUUGCACAAUGGGGGAAACCCUGAUGCAGCGACGCCGCGUGAGCGAAGAAGUAUUUCGGUAUGUAAAGCUCUAUCAGCAGGGAAGAAAAUGACGGUACCUGACUAAGAAGCCCCGGCUAACUACGUGCCAGCAGCCGCGGUAAUACGUAGGGGGCAAGCGUUAUCCGGAUUUACUGGGUGUAAAGGGAGCGUAGACGGCGAGGCAAGUCUGAUGUGAAAACCCGGGGCUCAACCCCGUGACUGCAUUGGAAACUAUCUUUCUUGAGUGCAGGAGAGGAAAGCGGAAUUCCUAGUGUAGCGGUGAAAUGCGUAGAUAUUAGGAGGAACACCAGUGGCGAAGGCGGCUUUCUGGACUGUAACUGACGCUGAGGCUCGAAAGCGUGGGGAGCGAACAGGAUUAGAUACCCUGGUAGUCCACGCCGUAAACGAUGAAUGCUAGGUGUAGGAGGUAUCGACCCCUUCUGUGCCGGAGUUAACGCAAUAAGCAUUCCGCCUGGGGAGUACGGCCGCAAGGCUGAAACUCAAAGGAAUUGACGGGGGCCCGCACAAGCGGUGGAGUAUGUGGUUUAAUUCGACGCAACGCGAAGAACCUUACCAGGGCUUGACAUUGAGUGAAAGGACAAGAGAUUGUCCCCUCUCUUCGGAGACACGAAAACAGGUGGUGCAUGGCUGUCGUCAGCUCGUGUCGUGAGAUGUUGGGUUAAGUCCCGCAACGAGCGCAACCCCUAUCCUUUGUUGCCAGCACGUUAUGGUGGGAACUCAAAGGAGACUGCCGCGGACAACGCGGAGGAAGGCGGGGAUGACGUCAAGUCAUCAUGCCCCUUAUGUCCUGGGCUACACACGUACUACAAUGGGAUGGACAGAGAGCAGCGAAGCCGCGAGGCCAAGCGAACCCCAUAAACCAUCUCCCAGUUCGGAUUGCAGGCUGCAACCCGCCUGCAUGAAGUUGGAAUCGCUAGUAAUCGCAGGUCAGCAUACUGCGGUGAAUACGUUCCCGGGCCUUGUACACACCGCCCGUCACACCACGGAAGUCAUUCACACCCGAAGCCGGCAGGCUAACCUUUUGGAGGCAGCCGUCUAAGGUGGGGGCGAUGACUGGGGUGAAGUCGUAACAAGGUA
rnacentral:rRNA from 1 species